rnacentral:rRNA from 1 species
GAUGAACGCUAGCGGGAGGCCUAACACAUGCAAGCCGAGCGGUAGAGUUUCUUCGGAAACUUGAGAGCGGCGCACGGGUGCGUAACACGUGUGCAACCUACCUUUAUCUGGGGGAUAGCCUUUCGAAAGGAAGAUUAAUACCCCAUAAUAUAAUGAUUGGCAUCAAUUAUUAUUGAAAACUCCGGUGGAUAGAGAUGGGCACGCGCAAGAUUAGAUAGUUGGUGAGGUAACGGCUCACCAAGUCAAUGAUCUUUAGGGGUCCUGAGAGGGAGAUCCCCCACACUGGUACUGAGACACGGACCAGACUCCUACGGGAGGCAGCAGUGAGGAAUAUUGGACAAUGGGUGAGAGCCUGAUCCAGCCAUCCCUCGUGAAGGAUGACGGUCCUAUGGAUUGUAAACUUCUUUUGUACAGGGAUAAACCUACCCUCGUGAGGGUAGCUGAAGGUACUGUACGAAUAAGCACCGGCUAACUCCGUG